CAAAGAGGGAAGAAGGAGAAAACUUUGCUUGCAGCAAAAAUAGCCUCUACAACAAAUGGUGUUGGGAGAGCUGGACAGCUACAUGCAAAAAAAUGAAACUCGAUCACCAACUUACACCAUACACAAAAAUAAAUUCAAGGUGGGUAAAAGACUUAAAUAUAAGUCGUAACA